UAUAAUGGCAGAAACCAGAAAUAAUAAACUCCAUUCAUUACCUUAGUGCUUCCAUAGCAUAGAGAGAGAGAGAGAGAGAAUGGUCACCUUUAAACCCUCUCAUCCAACAACUACAGCUGUGUUCCAGAAAUGACCAUCACCACCAGACCCCAUCCAUUCACAUCCUCCACUCUCUCUCUGUCUCUGCGCGUUACUUUUACUUUCUUUUGAAACCAAAUCAUUUUUUUUUUCAUUUCAUUCCUUCAAAUAUGGUGCCUUCUUCCAUAUCAGAACCAAACACAACCGAAAGCACCUUCUUUGUGUCAAAGGGUUAGUCAUAUAUACAGCUAUAAUGAACAAGAUCCGGAAGCUAUCAUCUUUUGAGGGGAAUGCUGCGUGGUCCAAGGAAAUCGAUAAUAUAUAUAACUCCACCUUCACAUCAGAUCAUUCAGAUGCAAUAAUUCUAUAUUACAUCUGCAGAUUAUGUUUUGUCUCCUCGGACCAGGCUUCAUUCCCCUCAAUUACAGCUUCCAUCACCAAAAUCACGAUCCUCUCAAGCAAUUAAUUCUUUGUGAGUGGAAGACAUUGAUGUAGAAGGAUAGUAAGUUGAAGCAUAUUGUGUGACAAAAUAUUCUGUAGAAUAGAUUCUAUUUUAUUGCUAUCUUUUCUUUCUUUAUAAAAAGGAGACGUCUUUCUGCUGUCUUUUGAAAAUCUUUCGAAUCUCUCUUUUACUCUUUCUUUAUUUUAUCUUCUACAAAAUAUAUCCCCUCAUGUGAUCAAAUUAAUUCUAAUUAAGUUUAACUUAAUCACAAACGAUUCUCAGUUACCCAUUUGGGCUAAUCAAAUCUUAUUAUAUUCCAGGAUAUAUCUUUCUUAUUUUCUAAUCAUUCUAUUUAUAUGCAUUAUUGUGUAUGGUAAAUUAUUGACUUUCAUAAUUAUUAUUUAAAAAUCACGUUAUUUAUAAUUUGUUGCAAGUUUUACAUUUUUUUGUAUAUUAACUAUGUAUUUAACUUAAAUGUAUAUUAUAACUUAAAGAAAGUGAAAAACAAAAGGUACCUUUAAUAUUAGGUGGUGUCAUCAUUUCACAAAACAAAGAAACUCUUCUGCGAGGAAAGGUUAGCAAGAUAACAAAGAAACUUUAGGCAUAGCUUACCAAAAUAAGUAAGGUUUUCUCUGAUCAUCAAUUAAAAUAAUCGAUUGGAGAUAAAAGUGUCGUAAAUUAGGUUCUUUAAGUAAAUUUAUUAUAAUAUAUUAUUAGCAUUAACAAUUGAUCUGCAAAAUGUAACAUUAAUUGAUCCAUGGAUAAUGGAAAAACAAGUUUUCAUCUUCUAACGAAUUGUUUUGUUGAUUGAUGCAAUGGAAAAAGGAAGAAAAUGAACGUGUGGUCUCUGACAAGACCUUUUUGCACAGUUCUAUCUCCAUUUUAUUGCAUUCUUCCUUUUGUUUGGUACAUAGUCUCAACUUCCUUAAAAUUAUGGUGCUACUUCUGUUAUGAUACACUGUAUCGAAACCAGAACAAAGGGAGUGAUGUUUAUUAAGACAAAGCCCCAUCAGACCUUUUCUUUUGUUUUUGUUGUCUGAAGGAUAAAAGAUAGUGCAUCUCUUACAAUGAUGUAAAUUUGUUAUACAAGGCGUUGUUUUGUUACGCAUGAUGACUAAACAAGAAACAUUAAUUAUUAAAAUGAAGGUUUCUUUAUUUGUCUAGUGGGAUGCAGGUGCUCAACACCGGGACAAAAGGAAAAGAACAAAAAUUUAAUAUAUAGGUGGAACAGAAAGUGAUAACUGGAAAUGUAGGUUUUAUGUGUAUUGCCUCAUAAGUUGUUGGCAGAAUCAUAUCCCAAUUUUACUUUC